UAGCUUAGUUGGUAUAGCGCUCCACUGGAAAUGGAGGUGUCCCUUGUUCGAUACCAGG
rnacentral:tRNA from 1 species